rnacentral:lncRNA from 1 species
GGCAAGAUGGCCAGAGAGUUGUGCAGGUCCACCCGGCUCAGCUGCACCUUUUUAUCUGCCCUUCUCUGGUCCUCCUGCAGCCAGACAGAUAGCCCACAGGGGCACGGGGUUCGCAGACCCUCCCCGGCCAGCUGCAGCAGUCGCUCCUGCCAGCACUCCCUUUCCUCCCGACCAUUCCCAUUUUGCAGGCUGGAGCCCUACGUGGCAGAGGAGGAGAGAGCUGCGGGCAGAAGGAAAACGGGGUGCUGGGAUUCCUCCAGCCCGCUGCCGGAUGUCUUCUCUGGCAUGUUGGGGGUGGGCAGAGGACUGUGGGAGCACCUUCGAGGCUCUGGGCAGGAGGGUCUGCAUCGACGGCACCGGUUGCUCGAGCUUUUCCCACUGCAGGAGCUCAGAAGCGACAACAACCCCGACCCCAAACCAGGCAGGUAAUGACAACAUACACACACAGAUACACGCCCGAUACAGAAUCUGGCACUCUACAGUCCUCCCAGAGCUUGUUGCUGCUUUUGUAGGCUGCUCUACAGCUAUUCAGUCCUUUUGCCUUCAUUCCCAUAUGUCUUGCCCCCUUCCUUCGCCCUGUGCCUUCCCCGUUCCUUUUUCAGGCUUCCUCCUUUCUUUCCUCACUUCCUUCCCCAUCCCUUCCCCCUGCAACGGCCUGUGUUCUGCUGCUGUUUCAGCUGACAGUCCUUAAACCACACUUUUCAAAGACAUUGGAUCAGAUCGCAUACUGUCACUGAUUUAAAAAAGAAAACAACAAGUGCAGUACUAUGUAUGGAUAACAAACUCCUACCUGCUUGAAAAACAGUAGCAGCGCCUCAUCCUGGAGUGUCACCAUCACCUGCAUGUUGGGCUGGCACUGCUCAUCUGCCCCGCAGUGCUGCUCAAACUCCUGGCACAGCCUGCCACCUCCUUGUGUCACCUCCUUGUGUCACCUCCUUGUGUCACCUCCUUUUGCCUCUGUAGUUCUGACCCCACACAUCCACCCCGUGUCCCCCCGUGUCCCUGUGUCCCCAUAUGCCCUCUCAUGUCCCCUCAAGUUCCCCCGCGCCCCCUGCCCCGCUUUGCUCCAUGCCGAUGUUGUCGGGUUGAGGAC